rnacentral:rRNA from 1 species
AGUGAACGCUGGCGGUAGGCCUAACACAUGCAAGUCGAACGGCAGCACAGUAAGAGCUUGCUCUUACGGGUGGCGAGUGGCGGACGGGUGAGGAAUACAUCGGAAUCUACUUUUUCGUGGGGGAUAACGUAGGGAAACUUACGCUAAUACCGCAUACGACCUACGGGUGAAAGCAGGGGAUCUUCGGACCUUGCGCGAUUGAAUGAGCCGAUGGCGGAUUAGCUAGUUGGUGGGGUAAAGGCCCACCAAGGCGACGAUCCGUAGCUGGUCUGAGAGGAUGAUCAGCCACACUGGAACUGAGACACGGCCCAGACUCCUACGGGAGGCAGCAGUGGGGAAUAUUGGACAAUGGGCGCAAGCCUGAUCCAGCCAUACCGCGUGGGUGAAGAAGGCCUUCGGGUUGUAAAGCCCUUUUGUUGGGAAAGAAAAGCAGCAGGUUAAUACCCCGCUGUUCUGACGGUACCCAAAGAAUAAGCACCGGCUAACUUCGUG